GUUUCUGUAGCUCAGUAGGAUAGAGCACUCGCCUCCUAAGCGAGGGGCCGUGGGUUCGAAUCCCGCCAGGAACA
rnacentral:tRNA from 2 species